rnacentral:rRNA from 1 species
CCCUUAGAUGUUCUGGGCCGCACGCGCGCUACACUGACGAAUGCAACGAGCUUAUAACCUUGGCCGAAAGGUCUGGGUAAUCUCCAAAUUUCGUCGUGAUGGGGAUAGAUUUUUGCAAUUAUUAAUCUUCAACGAGGAAUGCCUAGUAAGCGCAAGUCAUCAGCUUGCGUUGAUUACGUCCCUGCCCUUUGUACACACCGCCCGUCGCUCCUACCGAUUGAAUGGUCCGGUGAAGCGUUCGGACCGUGGCCUUUGGACGGUUCGCCGUCUGUUGGCUGCGGGAAGUUCGUUAAACCUUAUCAUUUAGAGGAAGGAGAAGUCGUAACA